UGGCGAACGGGUGAGUAACGCGUGGGUAACCUGCCUUAUACAGGGGGAUAACAGUCAGAAAUGGCUGCUAAUACCGCAUAAGCGCACAGAGCUGCAUGGCUCAGUGUGAAAAACUCCGGUGGUAUAAGAUGGACCCGCGUUGGAUUAGCUAGUUGGUGGGGUAACGGCCCACCAAGGCGACGAUCCAUAGCCGGCCUGAGAGGGCGGACGGCCACAUUGGGACUGAGACACGGCCCAAACUCCUACGGGAGGCAGCAUG
rnacentral:rRNA from 1 species